AUUUUAUACAGAAGCGGCGAGAGAUUAGGCUCUACGACCCGCUGGCAACCUUCGACCGCGCGAAAGGUGCCACUUCCUACCCCUCGGCCCCUGGCCGUUGCGGGAAAUAUAACCG
rnacentral:ncRNA from 2 species